UACAGAGGGUGCAAGCGUUGUUCGGAAUUAUUGGGCGUAAAGGGCGCGUAGGCGGAUGGUACAGUCAGAUGUGAAAUUCCCGGGCUCAACCUGGGGGCUGCAUUUGAUACGUGCUGUCUUGAGUUCGGAAGAGGGUCGUGGAAUUCCCAGUGUAGAGGUGAAAUUCGUAGAUAUUGGGAAGAACACCGGUGGCGAAGGCGGCGACCUGGUCCGAGACUGACGCUGAGGCGCGAAAGCGUGGGGAGCAAACAGG
rnacentral:rRNA from 1 species